GCCUAGCUGGCUCAGUCCAUGGAGCAUGUGAUUCUUACUCUUGGGGUUGUGAGUUCAAGCCCCAUGUUGGGUA
rnacentral:tRNA from 1 species